AAUAUUUCAGCAAACCCUAUUUCCCCAAUUUCAGCAAUUUUUCCCCAAUUUUCUCUAUCUCUAUCUCUCUAUCGUUAUCUCCGCAGUCUUCAGCGAUUUCUGCAAUUUCUCUUCCAUCCACCAUUUUUCUUCGAUUUCUCUUCAACUCCACCUGUGGUUGACGGUAGCAAACGACGGAAUGUCAAUUUUCGGCUAACGGCAGAAAUUUCAAGCCUAUUCUUCGACUGUUGAAGACUAAAUCUGCUCCAAUUUCUCUUCCACUCCUCUUUUCGAUGGCGCCGGGUAAAAAAAAGAAGAUAAGACAUGCUUCCCAGCUUCCUCAGCACGCUUCAAGUCCUACUAGCUCGUCUGUGCCAUUUAUGAGUCAUCCUCCUCCUCCUCCUCCUCAACAGACUUCACUGCCACCCGGCUUCUUCACUUUGCCCCCUUGUGAUCCAGUUAAAUAUAAGCCUAUCUCUAAUUCCCAGAGCAUGCACACUAUACCAUCUGCUUCGAUAGCUUAUCGUACUAGUCAACAUGGUGGCUCCUUAUCUAUACCUCUGUCAUCAUUCACUCCAUCCUCAUGCUACCAUGUUAGUCAGAAUGGUGGUCCCGCAUCCAUGGCUCCAUCUUCAUCUCCAUCAUCAUCCACUCCUAGUGUUUCUAGGCCACAUGUUGGAGGCUCUACCAUGCCGUCAUCCCCAUCCAUUGAUACAUCUACACCUGCUGCUGAAGAUACAUAGACUCAGACUUUUGAAGAGAUUGUAUCAUAUGAUGAUCUUCACAGACUGCUUAUCAUUCCUGAUGGUAAUACUGGGUAAGCAAUUACUUUAUCAUUCAUUUGAAUUGUUGAAUAUAUUUUAGACAUAUGUUAAUUUUAAUGCAGGUUUGUUCCCUCCAAUGAAUCUACGAAAGUGGUUGUGGAUUGUGUUAAAGCAUUUUACCGAGAUGCUUGGAGUAAAUGGUCAGAUAUACCGUAUUUUUACAGAGAUCAGAUGUGGAAUCAAUUUAGGACAAGGUGUGCAUGACAUCCCAAAUAUCAUCAGCAAAUAAGUCAUAAUUUCGAGAAAAAAGGUGCUGAUAGGCUUAAGAAUCUCCUCUAUAAAGCUCGGUUUGAUGGCAAGAUGCCCGAUUUGAUACUAAAAGACAUAUGGGAAAAACUUAAGGUGAUAUGGGCUUCUCCAGAAUUUAAGAAGAGGAGCAACGCCGGAAAGGCUGCCCGAGCCUCCAAUACGGGUGGCUCAUUGCACACUGGGGGUUCAGUUAGUAUGGAGACCCAUCGAAGGAGAAUGGAAAAGGAAAAAGGGAGACUUGUGACUUAUGCUGAGGUCUUUGAGUAUGAAAAAGAAAAAGGACGGUACAAGAGAAUGGGUCGAGCCCCGCGCAUAUGAAGCCUAUCAAAACCGUUUGGAGGAAUGGCGUCAAAGUCAACUCGAUUCCGAGGAUGGUAGCUCAGUCCAAAUGUCACUCAAUGAUGUAGCUUCAAUAUGGACACAAGUGGUUGGUGGUGCAAAGAAAGGUAGAAUAUACGGUCUUGGAUCACAACAUUCCUUAGGUCGUUCUACGACAUUAUCGUCUGGUGAUGCAAGUUAUUCCCAGAAUCAAGAAGAGGUGGAAGCAUUACGAAAAGAAGUUGAAGAGUUGAAGGAGGAACGUAAAGAAGAUAGCGCAAAUUUUAACAAAUUGCAGAGUCUAGUGGAGAAAUUUAUGAGUGGACGUCCAUUUGAUCCUUCGAAUAGCGAGGAUGGCGGGGAUAAUGAGUUUUAGUUUAUUGCGGUAGUCAUGUUUGAAACAUUAUUUUGUUGUGGUUGGAUGUUUAGACUUGGUAAUGUUUACACUUGACUAUGAUUGUAAUAUUUAAGACUAGAUUGAAUGGUGCUUGAAUGUUUAACUCUUUUUGGAUGUUUUAGUUAUAAAUAUUUAUGUUUUCUAUA